AUUGAACGCUGGCGGCAGGCCUAACACAUGCAAGUCGAGCGGAUGAAGGGAGCUUGCUCCUGGAUUCAGCGGCGGACGGGUGAGUAAUGCCUAGGAAUCUGCCUGGUAGUGGGGGAUAACGUCCGGAAACGGGCGCUAUACCGCAUACGUCCUGAGGGAGAAAGUGGGGGGUCUUCGGACCUCACGCUAUCAGAUGAGCCUAGGUCGGAUUAGCUAGUUGGUGGGGUAAAGGCCUACCAAGGCGACGAUCCGUAACUGGUCUGAGAGGAUGAUCAGUCACACUGGAACUGAGACACGGUCCAGACUCCUACGGGAGGCAGCAGUGGGGAAUAUUGGACAAUGGGCGAAAGCCUGAUCCAGCCAUGCCGCGUGUGUGAAGAAGGUCUUCGGAUUGUAAAGCACUUUAAGUUGGGAGGAAGGGCAGUAAGUUAAUACCUUGCUGUUUUGACGUUACCAACAGAAUAAGCACCGGCUAACUUCGUG
rnacentral:rRNA from 1 species